rnacentral:rRNA from 1 species
AUUGAACGCUGGCGGCAGGCCUAACACAUGCAAGUCGAGCGAGCGGCGGACGGGUGAGUAAUGUCUGGGAAACUGCCUGAUGGAGGGGGAUAACUACUGGAAACGGUAGCUAAUACCGCAUACCAUCAGAUGUGCCCAGAUGGGAUUAGCUAGUAGGUGGGGUAACGGAUCACCUAGGCGACGAUCCCUAGCUGGUCUGAGAGGAUGACCAGCCACAGUGGACAGGAGACACGGGCCAGCCGCCUACGUGAGGAAGCAGUGGGUAAUAUUGCACAAUGGGCGCAAGCCUGAUGCAGCCAUGCCGCGUGUGUGAAGAAGGCCUUCGGGUUGUAAAGCACUUUCAGCGGGGAGGCGUUACCCGCAGAAGAAGCACCGGCUAACUCCGGGCCAGCAGCCGCGGUAAUUC